CACUGGGCUUCCCUAAGAAGCUCCUCUGUUCCCCCAACUCUCAUUUCCCUCCUUUUUUUUUUCAGAAUUUCCCGAGAAAAUUCUGCUUUUGCUGAAAUUAUGGAGGAAGAGAGGGAAUUCGAGGAAGAGGAAGGAGUUUGGGUUGUGAAUGGGGAGGUUGAUGAAGGUGAAGUUGAUUGCGAAGUAGAAAGUGAUCAUACUGAGAUGAGUGACGGUGUUGAAGUAGUAGAUGGAGACGAUGAUGAGGAGGACGGUGGCGACGACGAGGAUGAGUCGGAGGAGUUGCACAACUCCGGUAGGCCUCCGGUUCAGUUGGUGGAUGAUGACGGUGAGGGCGAAGGUGACGAUGACAGUGAGGGACACGACGAGGAGGAGGACGACGAAGGAGAUGAUGUAGAUGUAGAAAUGGCAGAUGUAGCAUUGAUCGAACAAGCUGAUUCCGGAUCUGGAAAGAAAGCUGCCCAAAGGAAAACACUGUUGGUGGCCAACUUAUUCUUUCGUGCUCGAGAAGCUGAUUUAUGGGCUUUUUUUAAGGAAUAUGCGGGAUCAAUUGUUAAAAUCAUUCUUGGAUAUCAAAAUGGCAUUUUUCAGCGCUUGGCCUUUGUUGAGUUUACUACCGUAGAAGUGGCAAAAAAGGCUCUCGAGUUGAAUGGGGAAGAAUCACAGAAACGUCCCUUGACACUUGAAUUUGUUGAGGAAGGGAGAUCAUACAAUGAAUUUUUCAGCAAUGAGGAAAACUCGUACCAGGAGGGAGGGGAAGCUCAAGGGAAUACCAUCUAUGUAGAAGGUUUUGAUACAAGUGGUGGCGAGAGACAGAUUAGGGAUUCACUGGAAAAACAUUUUGUUCAUUGCGGAAAGGUUUUAGAGGUUUCCAUACCAGAAGAUUAUGAUGGUGGUGUGGGAUGGAUUGCUUCCAUUGAAUUUAAGAAUAUCAAAGGUUUCAACAGAGCUCGUAAACUCAAUGGUUCUAAACUUGGUGGCUGUACUUUGAAGGUAGAAGCAGGAAAACCAAAAAGAGAAGCAAAUGCAGAAGCAAAUGCAGCAAAUGCAGAAGCAAAUGCAGCAAAUGCAGAAGCAAAUGCAGAAGGGGGUGCUAGUACUAGUGGUGGUGGUGGUGGAGCCACCAAGAAAUUUUGGACGACCGGGACAGGUAUGUAGUCUUCAUGCUUGUUUUAAUCAUGUUAUGUAGACCUAAGCCAUUGCUGAAAAUGAUUUUGGACGACCGGGACAGGGAAGCAUACCGUGUUUCCAGACUUGGACUGAUAUGACAAAGAAGAGAGUUGUAAAUCCGAUCCCCAAUUUCAUGCUUACAAUCAACCCUGUCAAUUGUCUGCAUCAAACAGCCAAAUUUUAUGGUUUUUUUUUUUAUUUUUAUAGCUGUAUAAAAAUCAAAUGCAAAACAUUAUCAGCCUAACACGCUUGACAUUGUAAUUCUCAGAAAGAUGUAUAAAUUUUCUACACAAGAGUUAGUAGUAGAAUGGUGUUUUCAUAUUUUCUACACAA